AAGUCUGAUGGAGCAACGCCGCGUGAGUGAAGAAGGGUUUCGGCUCGUAAAGCUCUGUUGGUAGUGAAGAAAGAUAGAGGUAGUAACUGGCCUUUAUUUGACGGUAAUUACUUAGAAAGUCACGGCUAACUACGUGCCAGCAGCCGCGGUAAUACGUAGGUGGCAAGCGUUGUCCGGAUUUAUUGGGCGUAAAGCGAGUGCAGGCGGUUCAAUAAGUCUGAUGUGAAAGCCUUCGGCUCAACCGGAGAAUUGCAUCAGAAACUGUUGAACUUGAGUGCAGAAGAGGAGAGUGGAACUCCAUGUGUAGCGGUGGAAUGCGUAGAUAUAUGGAAGAACACCAGUGGCGAAGGCGGCUCUCUGGUCUGCAACUGACGCUGAGGCUCGAAAGCAUGGGUAGCGAACAGGAUUAGAUACCCUGGUAGUCCAUGCCGUAAACGAUGAGUGCUAAGUGUUGGGAGGUUUCCGCCUCUCAGUGCUGCAGCUAACGCAUUAAGCACUCCGCCUGGGGAGUACGACCGCAAGGUUGAAACUCAAAGGAAUUGACGGGGGCCCGCACAAGCGGUGGAGCAUGUGGUUUAAUUCGAAGCAACGCGAAGAACCUUACCAGGUCUUGACAUCCAGUGCAAACCUAAGAGAUUAGGAGUUCCCUUCGGGGACGCUGAGACAGGUGGUGCAUGGCUGUCGUCAGCUCGUGUCGUGAGAUGUUGGGUUAAGUCCCGCAACGAGCGCAACCCUUGUCAUUAGUUGCCAUCAUUAAGUUGGGCACUCUAAUGAGACUGCCGGUGACAAACCGGAGGAAGGUGGGGAUGACGUCAAGUCAUCAUGCCCCUUAUGACCUGGGCUACACACGUGCUACAAUGGACGGUACAACGAGAAGCGAACCUGCGAAGGCAAGCGGAUCUCUGAAAGCCGUUCUCAGUUCGGACUGUAGGCUGCAACUCGCCUACACGAAGCUGGAAUCGCUAGUAAUCGCGGAUCAGCACGCCGCGGUGAAUACGUUCCCGGGCCUUGUACACACCGCCCGUCACACCAUGAGAGUCUGUAACACCCAAAGCCGGUGGGAUAACCUUUAUAGGAGUCAGCCGUCUAAGGUAGGACAGAUGAUUAGGGUGAAGUCGUAACAAGGUAGCCGUAGGAGAACCUGCGGCUGGAUCACCUCCUUU
rnacentral:rRNA from 1 species